rnacentral:rRNA from 1 species
CCUACGGGUGGCUGCAGUGAGGAAUAUUGGGCAAUGGGCGCAAGCCUGACCCAGCAACGCCGCGUGAAGGAAGAAGGCUUUCGGGUUGUAAACUUCUUUUGUCAGGGACGAAGCAAGUGACGGUACCUGACGAAUAAGCCACGGCUAACUACGUGCCAGCAGCCGCGGUAAUAAGUAGGUGGCAAGCGUUAUCCGGAUUUACUGGGUGUAAAGGGCGUGUAGGCGGGGAAGCAAGUCAGAUGUGAAUACCACGGGCUCAACCUGUGGCCUGCCUUUGAAACUGUUUUGCUUGAGUGCUGGGGCGGCGAGCGGAAUUCGGGGUGUAGCGGUGAAAUGCGUAGAUAUACGGAGGAACACCAGUUGCGAAGGCGGAUUGCUGGACAGUAACUGACGCUGAGGCGCGAAAGCGUGGGGAGCAAACAGGAUUAGAUACCCCUGUAGUC